GAUGAACGCUGGCGGCGUGCCUAGUACAUGCAAGUCGAGCGAACGGACGAGAAGCUUGCUUUUCUGAUGUUAGCGGCGGACGGGUGAGUAACACGUGGAUAACCUACCUAUAAGACUGGGAUAACUUCGGGAAACCGGAGCUAAUACCGGAUAAUAUUUUGCACCGCAUGGUUCAAAAGUGAAAGACGGUCUUGCUGUCACUUAUAGAUGGAUCCGCGCUGCAUUAGCUAGUUGGUAAGGUAACGGCUUACCAAGGCAACGAUGCAUAGCCGACCUGAGAGGGUGAUCGGCCACACGGGAACGGAGACACGGUCCAGACUCCUACGGGAGGCAGCAGUAGGGAAUCGUCCGCAAUGGGCGAAAGCCUGACGGAGCAACGCCGCGUGAGUGAUGAAGGUCUUCGGAUCGUAAAACUCGGUUAUUAGGGAAGAACAUAUGUGUAAGGAACUGUGCACAUCUUGACGGUACCUAAUCAGAAAGCCACGGCUAACUACGUG
rnacentral:rRNA from 1 species